AUUGAACGCUGGCGGCAGGCCUAACACAUGCAAGUCGAGCGGAGCGGCGGACGGGUGCGUAAUGCCUAUGUAUCUGCCUGGUAGUGGUGGAUAACGUCCGGAACCGGGCGCUAAUACCGCAUACUCUCAGAUGAGCCUAGGCCGGAUUAGCUAGGUGGUGGGGUAAAGGCCUACCAAGUCGACGAUCCGUAACUGGUCUGAGAGGAUGAUCAGUCACACGGGAACGGAGACACGGUCCAGACUACUACGGGAGGCAGCAGUGGGGAAUAUGGGACAAUGGGGGAAAGCCUGAGCCAGCCAUGCGGCGUGUGUGAAGAAGGUCUUCGGAGUGUAAAGCACUUUAAGUUGGGAGGCGUUACCAACAGAAUAAGCACCGGCUAACUUCGUGCCAGCAGCCGCGGUAAUUC
rnacentral:rRNA from 1 species